AUGCGCCUCCCGCCCCUCCCCCCACCCAGCCCCCAGCCGUUUCCCUCGUCGGGAAACCUGGGUUAUUUUAAUCUUAUGGCUUCGUACAAAAAGUGCCCUGACUGCGUGCAGGCUGAACCAGUCGUACGAGAGGGGCUGAAGCAUGUUGGUGAAGGAUGUGUGUUCACCUACUGCCAAGUAGGAGAAAAACCUUAUUGGAAAGAUCCAAAUAAUGACUUCAGGAAAAACCUGAAAUUAACUGCAGUGCCUACACUACUUAGGUAUGGAACACCUCAAAAACUGGUAGAAUCUGAGUGUCUUCAGGCCAACCUUGUGGAGAUGUUGUUUUCUGAAGAUUAAGAUUUGCUGAUGGCAAAUUGUGUCUAUUUCCAAAUUUGCUCUACUAUAAAAGAAACUGUAUGUCUGCUUUGAAUUCAUGUUAACAAUAAGUAAAUUAAUCAAGGAUGAUGUAAAAGAAAUUGGUAUAUAUCUAAAUAUUAGAGCACUAUUAAAAUGCUCCUGAACCCUCAAAAAAAA